rnacentral:rRNA from 1 species
GACGAACGCUGGCGGCGUGCUUAACACAUGCAAGUCGAACGGAAAGGCCCUGCUUUUGUGGGGUGCUCGAGUGGCGAACGGGUGAGUAACACGUGAGUAACCUGCCCUUGACUUUGGGAUAACUUCAGGAAACUGGGGCUAAUAUCGGAUAGGAGCUCCUGCUGCAUGGUGGGGGUUGGAAAGUUUCGGCGGUUGGGGAUGGACUCGCGGCUUAUCAGCUUGUUGGUGGGGUAGUGGCGUACCAAGGCUUUGACGGGUAGCCGGCCUGAGAGGGUGACCGGCCACAUUGGUACUGAGAUACGGCCCAGACUCCUACGGGAGGCAGCAGUGGGGAAUAUUGCACAAUGGGCGGAAGCCUGAUGCAGCAACGCCGCGUGCGGGAUGACGGCCUUCGGGUUGUAAACCGCUUUCGCCUGUGACGAAGCGUGAGUGACGGUAAUGGGUAAAGAAGCACCGGCUAACUACGUG